UACGAAGGGUGCAAGCGUUAAUCGGAAUUACUGGGCGUAAAGCGUGCGUAGGCGGUUAUUUAAGUCUGUUGUGAAAUCCCCGGGCUCAACCUGGGAAUGGCAAUGGAUACUGGAUAGCUAGAGUGCGGUAGAGGAAGGUGGAAUUCCCGGUGUAGCGGUGAAAUGCGUAGAGAUCGGGAGGAACACCAGUGGCGAAGGCGGCCUUCUGGACCAGCACUGACACUCAAGCACGAAAGCGUGGGGAGCAAACAGG
rnacentral:rRNA from 1 species